UACGUAGGUGGCGAGCGUUAUCCGGAAUUAUUGGGCGUAAAGGGUGCGUAGGCGGCUUGUUAAGUUUAAGGUGAAAGCGUGGGGCUCAACCCCAUACAGCCUUAGAUACUGGCGAGCUAGAGUACUGGAGAGGGAAGUGGAAUUCCAUGUGUAGCGGUAAAAUGCGUAGAUAUAUGGAGGAACACCAGAGGCGAAGGCGGCUUCCUGGACAGAGACUGACGCUCAGGCACGAAAGCGUGGGGAGC
rnacentral:rRNA from 1 species